rnacentral:rRNA from 1 species
GAUGAGCGCUGGCGGCGUGCCUAAUACAUGCAAGUCGAGCGAACAGAUGAGGAGCUUGCUCCGCUGACGUUAUCGGCGGACGGGUGAGUAACACGUGGAUAACCUACUUAUAAUACUGGGAUAACUUCGGGAAAACGGAGCUAAUACCGGAUAAUAUAUUGAACCUCAUGGGUCAAUAGUGAAAGACGGUUUUGCUGUCACUUAUAGAUGGAUCCGCGCCGCAUUAGCUAGUUGGUAAGGUAACGGCUUACCAAGGCAACGAUGCGUAUCCGAACUGAACGGGUGAUCGGCCACACUGGAACUAAAGCACGCAACAGACUCCUACGGGAGGCCGCAGAGGGGAACCUUCCGCACAGGACGAAAGCAUGACCAAGCAGCACCACGUGAGUGGUGAUGGGCUUCGGGUCGUGAAACUCUCUUAUUAGGGAAAAACAACUGUGUAAGUAACUAUCCACGUCUUGACGGUACCUGAUGAAAAAGCCACGGCUAACUACGUG